AGCUUUAUAGUCAAAAAUGAUAUAAAAUUGCAAAUUUUAAGGAAUAAAUAUUAAAAUUAUUAAGGCUU
rnacentral:tRNA from 1 species